rnacentral:rRNA from 1 species
CGGAGGGUGCAAGCGUUAUCCGGAUUCACUGGGUUUAAAGGGUGCGUAGGUGGGUUGGUAAGUCAGUGGUGAAAUCUCCGAGCUUAACUUGGAAACUGCCAUUGAUACUAUCAGUCUUGAAUAUUGUGGAGGUUAGCGGAAUAUGUCAUGUAGCGGUGAAAUGCUUAGAUAUGACAUAGAACACCAAUUGCGAAGGCAGCUGGCUACACAUAUAUUGACACUGAGGCACGAAAGCGUGGGGAUCAAACAGGAUUAGAUACCCUGGUAGUCCACGCCCUAAACUAUGGAUACUCGACAUCAGCGAUACACUGUUGGUGUCUGAGCGAAAGCAUUAAGUAUCCCACUGGGAAGUACGACCGCAAGGUUG